CCUACGGGAGGCAGCAGUGGGGAAUAUUGCACAAUGGGCGAAAGCCUGAUGCAGCGACGCCGCGUGAGGGAUGACGGCCUUCGGGUUGUAAACCUCUUUCAGCAGGGAAGAAGCGAAAGUGACAGUACCUGCAGAAGAAGCGCCGGCUAACUACGUGCCAGCAGCCGCGGUAAUACGUAGGGCGCAAGCGUUGUCCGGAAUUAUUGGGCGUAAAGAGCUCGUAGGCGGCUUGUCACGUCGGAUGUGAAAGCCCGGGGCUUAACCCCGGGUCUGCAUUCGAUACGGGCUAGCUAGAGUGUGGUAGGGGAGAUCGGAAUUCCUGGUGUAGCGGUGAAAUGCGCAGAUAUCAGGAGGAACACCGGUGGCGAAGGCGGAUCUCUGGGCCAUUACUGACGCUGAGGAGCGAAAGCGUGGGGAGCGAACAGGAUUAGAUACCCUGGUAGUCCACGCCGUAAACGUUGGGAACUAGGUGUUGGCGACAUUCCACGUCGUCGGUGCCGCAGCUAACGCAUUAAGUUCCCCGCCUGGGGAGUACGGCCGCAAGGCUAAAACUCAAGGAAUUGACGGCUGAGACGNGCGACGACGACGACGAGGGAGAGG
rnacentral:rRNA from 1 species